GACGAACGCUGGCGGCGUGCUUAACACAUGCAAGUCGAACGGAAAGGCCCUGCUUUUGUGGGGUGCUCGAGUGGCGAACGGGUGAGUAACACGUGAGUAACCUGCCCUUGACUUUGGGAUAACUUCAGUAAACUGGGGCUAAUACCGGAUAGGAGCUCCUGCUUCAUGGUGGGGGUUGGAAAGUUUCGGCGGUUGAGGAUGGACUCGCGGCUUAUCAGCUUGUUGGUGGGGUAGUGGCUUACCAAGGCUUUGACGGGUAGCCGGCCUGAGAGGGUGACCGGCCACAUUGGGACUGAGAUACGGCCCAGACUCCUAAGGGAGGCAGCAGUGGGGAAUAUUGCACAAUGGGCGGAAGCCUGAUGCAGCAACGCCGCGUGCGGGAUGACGGCCUUAGGGUUGUAAACCGCUUUCGCCUGUGACGAAGCGUGAGUGACGGUAAUGGGUAAAGAAGCACCGGCUAACUACGUG
rnacentral:rRNA from 1 species